rnacentral:rRNA from 1 species
UACGUAGGUGGCAAGCGUUAUCCGGAUUUAUUGGGCGUAAAGAGAACGCAGGCGGUCUUUUAAGUCUGAUGUGAAAGCCUUCGGCUUAACCGGAGUAGUGCAUUGGAAACUGGGAGACUUGAGUGAAGAAGAGGAGAGUGGAACUCCAUGUGUAGCGGUGAAAUGCGUAGAUAUAUGGAAGAACACCAGUGGCGAAAGCGGCUCUCUGGUCUGUAACUGACGCUGAGGUUCGAAAGCGUGGGUAGCAAACAGG